CUGUAAGUAUUCAAUGAUAUAAUGCAGGAAAAGAGCUUAGUACCUAAUACAUCAAGGUACUCAAAUAGCUGUCUUCUUUCUGCAGGGUUCAGUGUCUGUGUGUGUGUGUAUGUGUGUGCAUGCGUGCAUGCUCAGUUGUGUCCAACUCUUUGUGACCACACGGACUGUAGCCCACCAGGCUCUUCUGUCCAUGGGAUUUUCCAGGCCAGAAUACUGGAGUGGCCUGCCAUUUCCUCCCCUAGGCAAUCUUCCUGACCCAGGGAUGGAACCUGAGUCUCCUGCGUCUCCUGCGAUUGCAGGCAUAUUCUUUACCACUGCGCCACCUGGGAAGCCCUUGAAGGGUUCAAUGUUAGUCCUAAAGCUGGAGCUGGCUCACUUCCUUGAAUUUCAUGAAGGAAUAAGGUCUCAAGGCUCCCCAGCCGGGUCUUCAGCACUGUCUCAGGUGGACACAUUCUGGCUGGUUCUCCUCUCCUCCAUUCUCUCCUCUCUCAAAGGUCCUGCUGCCUGGGUCUGCCUUGUCCUAGACGCUGGGAAACAGCAUAAGCAAUGGCCUAGGGGUCAGCCAAGAGGAUGUAGACGAGACCGUCGGGACCAGGCCACCUGGACUGAAAACGUCAUGCGAUACGUUGCUGCGGCGGGAGAAGAAACUGCCUACAUAAUUACAGAGGGCCCGAAGAGAACAGCUGGAGCAGCCGGGGACCACAGAGAGAGGAUGCUGCUGCUGCCUGCAUGGGAAAUGGCAUCUUGGCAGCUCCGUUGUCGGAGGACCAGUCCGCGCUCUCCUUGUGAAGGCCACCUCACUCCUAACUAAGAAACUUAAGGAAAUGGGCCAGAAAUCCAUACUCCAUCUCUGGACACCUAUGCCUCUCAACUUGCUACUAUAACAAAUCUUGCCUUAGAAAGGUGAAUAGAAUCUAAACUUCACCAUAGUCUAUCAGAUCCUCUUCAACAUCAACUCUUGUCAUUUUUUCCUUUAUUCUGGGUCCCCUUUCAGUACUUUGAAGAUGUCAAACCCAUUUCCGCUUCAAGGUCUUUGAAUGUGUGUUUUUUUUUUUUUUUCCUUCUGGAAUGGUCUUCUCCUCCCUUGGCAGGGCUGGCCCUAUCUCAUUCUUCUAAUCCUAAACAUCAUUUCUUUCCCAAGAUCCCUUUUGACCAGCCUAUUUAAAGUGGUUUCUCCAUCACUGUACCUGUUAGCUUCCUCACAGCACUAUCACAACUUGUAAUUAUAUAUGUUUAUUC
ensembl:lncRNA